rnacentral:lncRNA from 1 species
AAUUAUUUACUAGAUUUGAAAUUACAAUAAAACCAUUUAACAUUGUUUACAAAUUUUUUUUACAAAAAAAUUCAGAUUAUCUGAUAAAUUUUAUAAUUAAGGUUGGCGAAGUGCAAAUAUAUUAAAUAACAAAGUGAAUUGACUUUUAUUGAGUUCGGCUGGGUUACUAUCGAUAGCAUGAGUAUUUGGUGCUAUUAAGUUUUCUACCGUUAGAUUUACCUCUUUUAUCAUUUUCAUCCGUUUGAUUAUACUAUUAAACUAACCACCCACUCAACCCUAGAGGGCCCACAUCAUCCUAACUGCACAUCUUUUAAUCCAAGGCCAGAAAACUUAAUAGCACCAAGUCAUUGGUGUUAUGAAUAGUAUUCUAGUCUAGUUCUUUAUUAAGAUUUUAAUAGUAUUUAAAUUGAAUAUUUAUAUCUUUAUCUAAAUUAAUUAUUAGUGAGGGACAGCUUUGAAAGUUUAUAUAUUGUACAUUUCAUCACACUAAAGUGCUCUUUCAAAAAAUUUUAAAAAAUUCAGGAUAAAAUGAAUAUUUUCAUUAAUUCAUGAUAACCUAUCUAAAAUAGAUGUUUGAUUGAGUGACAGAAGUUAACGACGAGGACAUAUUUAUAAGAUAGUAAAUAUUUGUAAGGAUAUUUGUGAUAUAAUCAAAUUUAUAGGAAUAUUUAUGAUAUUUUGAAUGCUUAGAGGGGUAUGAAUGAAAUUAAUCCUUCAUUAGUAACGGUUGAAACAUUUAGGGGCUGUUUGGUUUAUGCAUUUCCAACUGCAUUGCAGUUGGAAAUGCAUGCAUCUAUUAAUUUUUUGUUUGGUUUGGUACAGUUAGACCUAACUGCUGCAGUUGCAUCUGCACGAGAAGGCCCAACUGCAGCAGUUGGUACUGCAGCCAAAUUGGCCGUAGUACCAACUGCAGCAGUUGAGCCGGAGUCGGCUCACCUAUUAAACAAAAAACAAAGUAUGAUUUUUUUUUUCAUACACUUCUUUUUUUUUUUUNGUAAUAUCUGUUAGGGUAAAUAAAUUUUUUUUAUAUGCUUCUUAUUUUUCAGUUUGUUAGUUUAAUAAUAUCUUAAUUUUUAUUUUGAAAAAAAUUAUAACAUAUUUACAUUUAAAAUUUAUUAAAUUCAUAUAUAAUUUUAUAAUAUAUAAAUUAUAUAUAGUAUAAAAGUUUUAAUUAAUAUUUAAAAUAUGAUUACGUUAUGCUCAGAAAAGGUAAUCUCACUUUUCUAUCUAAAAAUUGAUAGAAUUUAUAAAAACAAAUCUUAACUGCAGACUACCAAACCGAAGAAAUGUAACUGCAGCAGUUGCAAUUGUAUAAAACCAAACAGACUAGGUGUAGAUAUAACUGCAGCAUUUACAACUGCAUAUACUUUCAACUACACUGUUUUUAUAACUACAUUCAACCAAAUGGCCCCAUAGAAAGGCAAUUAUAAAAAGAGUAAAAUCAGUAUAUUGAUUGUUGUUACUAUAGAUUUUAACAAAAAUAUGUUUUGAAAGGUAUUUUUGAAAGUUUUCUAUAUUUAGAGGGGCAUUUAAAAUAUUUUAAUUUUUAUAGGGGUAUUUUUAUAACAACGUGCUUUUAGAGGGGCAUAUAGGAAAUUUUUCCUAAAUUAAAGAUGAAAUGUAUGGUAGAUCUACUAGGUUGCCUUAUGCAAGUAAUAAUUUUUAUAAGCAAAAAGUUCAUGCUUUCAUUUUGGUAGUAUGAAAGUAAAUAUUUUUAUUACUUUAUGAACGUAGUAAAUAAUUUACCAAGCACAUUACUUGGUUGGUCUGCGGGUUAAAAAUUUAAAUAAGUUAAAUAAGUUUUACCGUUAGAUAAUUGGUUAAUUUUGUUAUUCGAAAUGUUUGUUAAAAAAAUUUAUUACAAGUGAUUGUCAACAAUCCAUUUAUUCUGUGGAACAAAUUAUUUUGGUCGUUAAAAGAAGUUGUUUAUAAGGAAUUAGGAAAAACUUUGUUUUUCGCUUUAAUGAAAUCAUAUUAUAUAAUAUAAAUUAAUUAAAUGUGAUAUAUUAUUUAUUUAAUUAAGUUUUAUCAAUUUAAAUAAUUAAUAUUUAAUUAUUUUAUUUUAUAUUAAGUUUUAUAUACAUUAAAUUAUUUUUUAUAUUAUAUAUUUCUUUUAAAGUUGCAUUGAAAUUUAUAGGAUUAUAAACUAACUAAAAUUAUAAGUAUGUUGCUAGUAAUAUAUUUAUUCAUUGCAUAUAUUAUGGAUAAAUUACAUAAAAUAAAUUAUUACAUAAAAUAAUUUUUAAUAUAAAAUAUAAAAUAACUUAAUAUUGAUGUAAAUUAAAUUGUUAUAUAAAAUAUUAUAUUAUAAAUUGUUAUAUAAAAUAAUUUUAUAAAUAAUUUUAUAUAAAUUAUGCUGAUAUAAAUUAAUUUUUUUAUUUUUUAAACAUAUUUAGAACGUUAUAAAAUUCGUCUAAACAAUGAUUCUACUUUUAUCCUCUUAUUUUAUUCACAUUCGCUAUAUCUUCUGAUAACAUUUUUUUUAGGUGAGAUAUUUUUUGGAUAAUGAAAUAAGAUAAAAAGAGGAGAAUUUUUUUUUUAAGAACGUGACUUAUUAGAUGAUGGAUAUUUAAAUUGAAAAUAAAAUGUUGGGCUGAUCAAGUAAGUUGCAUUCUGUAAGCAAUAAUUUUUAUAAGCAGAAAAUUCAUAUACUACUUUAGUAUUAAAAUAAUUUUUUUUAUUGUUUUAUCAUGAAAAUAGUAAAUAAUUUAUCAAGCACCUUACUUGGCGGUUCGAGUGUUAAAAAUUUUUAAAAAACUUUACAAACAGGCAGUUAUUUUAUUUUUUGAAAUGUUUCUGAAAAAAACUUAGUACAAGCUAAGAAAUCAUAACAAGUCAUAACAAUAAGAGAAAAAUUUAUUUAUGAGCAUAUUCAAUUACAUAAAAUUUAUGUUUAAAAAAUACAAGAAGAUGACAAUGGUUGCAACUCAUUUUUAAAAUUUAAAUAAUUGCAACCCAUUUUUAAAAUUUAAAAUUUGAAGUCUUCAUUAUAACUAUUUGUAGGAAAAACUCUUUAUUGUAAUAGUUAUAUCAUGCAGGAUACAUUGAAAACCAAUUUUUGUGCAUAUAGGAUGACAAGAGUCUAAUUAAGAAAAAAAUGAUAAAUUUUAUAGUAAAAUAAUGAAUUAAAUCUUUUUCUUUUUUUUACUCAUCUGUAAUAAAUAUUAUUUGAAAAAUGCUACUUCGAUAAGACAAGUGAGUAAAUUGAGACUUUUUAGGCUGCAUUGGUGCAGAAAAUUUUCUGAUAUUAUCUCGAUAAGACAAGUGAGUAAAUCCAGACUUUUUAGGCUGCAUGGAGGAAAUUUCCUGAAUAAGGAAUAUUCCCAACUUGUAUCCAAAUAGUGAAAAAAUUAGACGGAAGAAACUAUUUCAAUAAUUAUUCUGGAGGAUAUUAGAAACAACUUUAUUUUUUUCUUUAUUUUAUUAGAUUAGACAAAUAGAUAUAUAAAUAAAUAUAUUAAUAUAAAUAUUAUCUUUAUAAUAAUGUAUUUUUACUUAAAUCUUAUUAUAUAUUAUAAAUUAAUUAAAUGUGAUAUAUUAUUUAUUUUAUUAAGUUUUAUCAAUUUAUAUAUUAGUAUUUCAUUAUUUUAUUUUAUAUUAAGUAUUAUAUAUAUUAUAUUAUUUUUUAUGUAUUAUAUAUUUCUUUCCAAUUUGUAUUGAAAUUUAUAGUAUUAUAAACUAAUUAAAAUUAUGAGUAUAUUGCUAGUAUUAUAUUUUAUUCAUUACAUAUAUUAUGAAUAAAUUACGUAAAAUAAAUUGUUAUAUAAAAUAAAUUUUAAUAUAAAAUAAUUUAAUAUUUAUAUAAAUUAAAUUGUUACAUAAAAUGUUAUAUUAUAAACCGUUACAUAAAAUAAUUUUUUAAAUAAUUUUAUAUAAACUAUGCCGAUAUAAAUUAAUUUUUUAUUUUUUUAAACAUAUUUAGAAUGUAAUAAUAUCCGUCUAAAUAAUUAUUAUGUUUCUAUCCUCCAUAACAUUUAUGUUUUCUUCAAAUUGGCUAUAUUUUUUGAUGACAUUGCUAUUAAGGUAAAAAUUUUCUUUUUUUUCUUUUAUUUAUGUUUUUUAUUGGCUAAAAAUAUUUGUAUGUUUGUUAGAUUUAGGAUGUUGGAAUAAGAUAAAGUGAGGGGAAAAAAUUUUUAGAACCACUUAAAGUUUACUCGCUUUAUAAUUCACUCUCUGAAUACGGUGCACGAUUCACCACCUGCACUAUAGUGUCAUUGAAAUCGAGUACAAAACCCUUAUUUUCAUUAAUUUGUUAGACGUCUGGUAUUUGUGUGACUGCACAUGAGUCAAAUUUUGAGUGAAAUGAUCAUAGUGUUGGUUCAUUUCUUCAGCUAAGUAAUUAACUUUACUAAUGGAACAUUUUGCCAAUUUUACAGAAAAAAGGGAUUUGUAGCAAAUUGCAACAGAACCAUUGUUUAAUUGAUAAUUUGGAAUACUUUGAAAUUUGUUGGGUGAAUUGCAUGGGCAAAGUUUACAUAGUUAUGAAGCUUUGUCCCCUAGAAUAUGUCUAAUGAGUCUUUUUGGCCAUAUUUUUGCUUUUACGUUUAGCUAUAGUAAUCUCUUAUAAAGUGUUUGCAAACAGAAAAUAUUAAAUCUUUUGCUGUAGUAAGGAAUUGAAAUGAGACUUUGAAGUCUAGAAGCAGAACCUGUCAAUCAAAAGCUUCUAAAUCUACCAUAGAAAGAAACGUUUGCGUGUAUUUUAAUAUACAGUUCUCCAAAUAAAAAAAAAAUCUCAAAAAGAGAUUUUGCUAGAGUUUUAUUUGAAGAAGCAGUAUUAUUUUUCUAUAUUAGAAUAUUUUUAAGAACUCAUUGCGACAAAAGCAGUCCCUGCAAAUAGGAGCGAGAAAGCUUAUUCUUGCUUCCUACUACAGCAAACAAUUUGGGAUAUUUUAUUAGUCAAAUGCCUAUUAUGCUUUUAGCAAUAGAGAAGCUAUUCUACAAAUAGAGGCCUAAUAGGAAAAGAGUCCUAAUUUACUUGACUUUUGUACACAAAAUCUUGACUAAUCACCAAUGAAUCAAUACUAAUUUUGUAGGCAUGCGAAAUCAGACAAUAUAGAAGACUAACAUGAAAUGAUGUAAGGUAUUUGGCCUAUUUGUAAUUUAUGUUGGUCGCAAAUGUUUUAGAUCUUAACCAAAUUGCUAGAAGUGUGAUUAUGCUUUUGAAUAUUUGUAUUGAUGUGAUUAAUUAUUAUGCAUUUAAUCAUGACUUAUCAACAAACCAUUAAAAUUUAUUAUAUCUAACCAAAAGCUAUCCUAUUAUUUGUAAGCUGACUAUACUAAACAACAUGGUAGAAAGUACUGAAAUUGAUCUCAAAUCUCAUACAUUUGAGAAAUAAGAAAAGUGCUUUGUUCUUUUUUUAUAAAUUAACCAUCAUAUGAUAUUUGAAGUAUUGUGGCCUUUAUAUAUACAAAGGUUAAUACAAAAGCUUUUUUGGGAUACAUACAUUUUGGAAACCUCUAUGACUAAUAAAUUAAUAUAUUUCAGCUUAAUCGCUUGAAACUUACAUGACUAAUAAGUUAGGUAAAAAUAGCUAAUAUAAAUAAUAUUCCACAUUUUUCUUUUAUAGAAUCAUUUUCUUUUUUAUGGGUUUCAUUUACACAUAUAAGUAUAUAAAAACUGAAAUACCUUACAUUAUUUUGUAUGUUACUCAAACUUUGUGACACCCCGCUUUUCAAGAAGUCACCAACCCUUAGACUACUCUAAUCUUAGCACGCUUACCUCUCCUAACCUCUUGGGCCUAACCUGUCACGCCCCAAUCAUUGUUAAGAAAUAUAUAGUAAAAAAAAAAUACAAAAUAAAAAA